CCUGAUCUCUCUCUCCCUAGUACAGACCACACACGCAAAUCAUUUCAGCCUCCCAAAUCGCCUCCAUCUCUACCAUACGCAAAUCCUUUGACCCUCCCAAAUCGCCUCCAUCUCUAUUUCGUUCUCAACUCUGAACUUGCCCUCUCUCUGCGACUGCAAACUACAAGAUCUACAAGAAUCAGAUCAGCCUCCCAAAUCGCCUCCAUCUCUAUUCUCGUUCUUGACUCUGAACUUGCCCUCUCUCUGUCAUUACCCGCUCUUAGGCCCCAUUAAUGGACACCAACGUCGCGAGGUGCCCGCCGACGAUGGAUCUACCAUCGCCGAACCUCCCUCUGAUCCCUCUGCUGCCAAGAAAUCCAAGCGAUUCGAGAUGAAAAAAUGGAGUGCCGUCGCUCUCUGAUCUUGGGAUAUUGUUGUGGAUAACUGUGCAAUUUGUAGGAACCAUAUCAUGGAUCUCUGUAAGAGCUUUUGGUUGUGUUAUUUUGUGUAGGUUUUUCUUCAUUGUUAUUGCAUAUGCUGUGUGAUUUGGAUGUGUGUUGAUUUUGAUUAGGCAUUGAGUGCCAAGCUAAUUAAGCAAGUGCGAGUAGCGAGGAGUGCACUAUUGCUUGGGGUGGUGAGCUGUAUUAUGGAAGUCCAUGUGCUAAUGAAUUUAAAAUCCUAAGUUGACAUUGUUAUGUACCCCCCGUACGAAAAGUGAGAAUUGGUUAGCAGUGAUGGUGGUAAUGCUAGUGACCACAUGCCUAACUUCCUUAGUGAUCAUCCUUUGUUGGCACAGUGAAUAAAGAUGGUUGGGCAAGCUUGGCGGUGCUACUUCUUUUUGCAAUCUUUUGUUAGCACUUGGUUUUCUUUUUUUUAACAAUGAUGGAGACUUUGUACUCUAAAUUAUUCAAUGAAUGUUUUGGAUUAAUUUUUGGUGAUU